GAUGAACGCUGGCGGCGUGCCUAAUACAUGCAAGUCGAACGGAGAAUGUAGCAAUAUGUUCUUAGUGGCGAACGGGUGAGUAACGCGUUGGUGACCUGCCCCAAAGAGAGGGAUAACAGUUCGAAAGGACUGCUAAUACCUCAUGUGAUCAUUAGCUUUAGAAACUGAUGAUUAAACGGCGAAAGUCGCUUUGGGAGGGACCUGCGUCCCAUCAGCUAGUUGGUAAGGUAACGGCUUACCAAGGCGAUGACGGGUAGGGGACCUGAGAGGGUGGACCCCCACACUGGCACUGAAACACGGGCCAGACACCUACGGGUGGCAGCAGUAGGGAAUAUUAGUUAAUGGGCGAAAGCCCGAACUAGCAACGCCGCGUGUGCGAUGAAGGCCUUCGGGUCGUAAAGCACUUUUUGGAGGGAUGAGGAAGGACAGUACCUCCAGAAUAAGCCUCGGCUAACUACGUGCCAGCAGCCGCGGUAAAACGUAGGAGGCAAGCGUUAUCCGGAUUUACUGGGCGUAAAGCGCGUGCAGGCGGUUCAGCAAGUUGGAUGUGAAAGCUCCUGGCUUAACUGGGAGAGGUCGUUCAAAACUGCUGGACUUGAGGAUGGGAGAGGGAGGUGGAAUUCCGGGUGUAGUGGUGAAAUGCGUAGAUAUCCGGAGGAACACCAGUGGCGAAGGCGGCCUCCUGGCCCAUUUCUGACGCUCAUACACGAAAGCUAGGGGAGCGAACGGGAUUAGAGACCCCGGUAGUCCUAGCUGUAAAGGAUGUAGACUUGGCGUCGGAGGGUUCAAAUCCUUCGGUGCCGAAGCUAACGCGAUAAGUCUACCUCCUGGGGACUACGGCCGCAAGGUUA
rnacentral:rRNA from 1 species